UGGGGAAUAUUGCACAAUGGGGGAAACCCUGAUGCGGCGACGCCGCGUGAACGAAGAAGUAUUUCGGUAUGUAAAGUUCUAUCAGCAGGGAAGAUAAUGACGGUACCUGACUAAGAAGCACCGGCUAAAUACGUGCCAGCAGCCGCGGUAAUACGUAUGGUGCAAGCGUUAUCCGGAUUUACUGGGUGUAAAGGGAGCGCAGGCGGUGCGGCAAGUCUGAUGUGAAAGCCCGGGGCUCAACCCCGGUACUGCAUUGGAAACUGUCGUACUAGAGUGUCGGAGGGGUAAGUGGAAUUCCUAGUGUAGCGGUGAAAUGCGUAGAUAUUAGGAGGAACACCAGUGGCGAAGGCGGCCAUCUGGGCGGGCACUGACGCUGAGGCGCGAGAGCCGGGGGAGCGAACAGGAUUAGAUACCCUGGUAGU
rnacentral:rRNA from 1 species